CCUUAGGAAUGGCAGGAAAUGAGACAGUUCAAGUCAUAACCUCCCACCAGAGGGCUUUAGAUUCUUUAGCCAGAAUGGUGGCAACAAAACACUUUAGAUCAUAUUUUACCGGGGGGGGAAAAAAAGAGGCCUAUUUGUAGUAGCCAAUUGCUCCUGUUGUAUAUACAGAAGUUAAAAUCUACUAAGAUAAAAUUAUUCAAAAGGUGACUCAGCCUCAACAAGUGUUAUCACAAGAACCUAGAUUUGAUCUUCUGGAAAUACCUUACGGAUCCCAGCAGAAAUAAGGUCUAUGUUUGAAGGAUUGUUAAACUGGGUUUAGCAAUAGAACACAUGUUGUUCUAUGUGUGCUAGGGUUUAUAUCCCUUUUUUGUCAUUAACUCUUUACUUCCUAUUUGUCUCAUAUCCUUAAGCCCAAAGCCUUGUGCUCCUCUCAAGAUUUGUGAGUAUUUGCAGUCAAAUUUAAUUUUAAUUUUUAUUUUUUAUUUUGUCUUUUUGCCAUUUCUUAGACCACUUCUGCAGCAUAUGGAGGUUCCCAGGCUAGGGAACAGCAGGUCAGGGGACAGCUCAUUAAAACCCCUCUGCUUGUAAACUGCCUUCACUAAUUUAGCGCCCUAGUUAUUUUUUCUUUUUUCAAACCUCUCUUUAAUGGCAUGCAUCCCCACCUUCACACAGCCCAGUUGUCUUGCAAGGACAUGCAGGUUGGCUCACUGGUUACCAGGGAAACCGGCAGAGGGGCAUGCCCCCAGCAUCCCCUUGAGAAACUGUCACGGGGAGAUGCUCAGAUUUAAAGAUGAGAACGGUCACUAACUGGUGGGGCUGGGGCGGGGACGUAGGCAUGACGGACUAGGCUCUAUGAUUGAAAGGGAAGGUUGGCCAGGUAAUUAGGGCGUAGGUGAGGCAAGGACUGGUCCAGCAGGGUACAUGAAAGGAGCAUGAGAACAGCCAUCACGCAGCUCAGACCUCAGCAUCUCAGCAUUUGGUCUGCUGCAAGCUGGACAAAGGGACCUGGUUUGGUAACAGAUCUGAGACUGGAGACUGCAGUGGGGGCUGAGCUCUGAACCUAUGGCAUCUGAGGCUACCUCCAGGUAGACACUGCCAGGACCGAAUUAACUGCCCGGUGGCGGCAGAAUCCUAGAAAGCAGCUGGAAUGUGAUCUUUGAGCAAAUGAGUGAGUGACAGGAAGGCUGAGCAAACCCAGGAGGGAGAAAAGAGAGGUCCCAGAAACUCUGACGGGGAGGGGGGCCAGCUGUGCAGCGAGGUGGGGGGGCUAUAGACAGACUGGUGCAGGAAGUGCCCUUAUGCCUGAUGGGGGGAACGCUGGGUGAGAACAGAGAUUAAAAGGAAGGAACUUGACACUGGUCAACUCCAGGCAGGAGGAACAUGUGGCCAGACACGGAUUCAGAACACACUCUGCAGCUCAGCCGUGAACUUGUCCAUUGGCCCAUCAUGAAACACUGAGCUGUGACUGGUUAGAGAGAAACAGCGAGACCCUGAGAGGCGUCAUCCCCCCCCCAAGACACCACGCCAGGACUCAGCUGCCGUUUCAACCCCUCCAAGAAACGUCAGCUUUGAACAGUCACUGUGACACUCCCUGAUGACACUGGGGAGGUGGGGUCAGCGUGAUGUAGACGCUACUGUCCUCCCCCCCAAAGAAGAGGGUCGGCCUGAACCACCCGUCCCUCCCCUCCUGCCCUUGUUCUUGUCCUGCCCUCCUUCUGCAUCCCGUACACCCGUCGGGGUGCCCUUCCCUUUACGGUGGGAGGCUGCCCGGCUCCUGAACCACUGCAUAAAGCCAAGGGGGUCUUCCACCUGACCCAGAUGGAUUUUCAUUUUUUAAGAAACCCAGAAAACUGUGAAAUGUCCGUCUUAGGAAGAGGAGAUGCAGAAAAACUAACAGCGAGCGCUUGAAAGUGCGCCAAACCCUGGCCUCCCAGAGCAGGAAACCAGGAAAUGGCAAUGUCUGCACAUUUAGUUAGAAAUACUGAGGCAGAAUGCAGAGGUUAUGCGGGGAAAGGAGAAAAAUGGGAAAGGAGAUGGAGACAGCUUCAGGGAGCAGGGCUCGGAGACGGGGGCAGACGAGGAGAGUCUGUUUGUUUUUUGUCAUCUGCUCACAGGAUUACUUCUGACUUAUGAAACCAUGUUAUUAUAUAAAAGAGCCGACGGUUUGUACUAUAUAAAGGAAUGAAUCAUUGCAUGAAUCUCAAAAGCAUCAUGGUGAGCAAAAGAAGUCCGUUAUGAGAAAACAUACAGGUGUCACUCCGUUUGCAUGACAUCUAAGACAGGACAAGACGAGCCUUGGGGCUCAGCUGGCAAGAGCUGUGGCGCCGCGGAAAUGGCUUUAGCUUCUGUAUGGUGUGACUGCUCCAAGGCACACGACUGUCAAAAAGAAAGCACCCAGGAGUUCCCACUGUGGCACGAGGGGUCAGUGGCAUCUCUGGGCCUCGGGGAUGCAGGUUCAAUCCCCGGCCCAGUGCAGUGGGUUAAGGCUCUGGCGUUGCUGCAGCUGUGGUGUAGGUCACAACUGUGGCCUGAUCUGAUCCCUGGUGCCGGAACUCCAAAUGCUGAGGCGUGGCAAAAAAGGAAAAAGAAAGAAAAAAGGAAGGAAGGGAGGAAGAAGGAAAGAAAAUGAAAAGAAAAAAACAAAAAGAAAGCACCUAAAAUCUGCAUAUUUCAUUGCAUGUUAUCUACCUCACUUAAAAAACACGAUUUGACACAACACUCCUAACGAUACAGAGAAUUUCAGCCAUACGAUGACUUGAUAAUAUACCAUUCAUACAUUUAAAGCCAUCCGGGCACAGAAAAAAAUUUUUUUUUUUAAUUUUUAACUAACAUAAUACUGGCGUCUGAAUCUAGAAAAGAGAAAGAAAUUCUGAGUAAAUA
ensembl:lncRNA